rnacentral:lncRNA from 1 species
UUAUAUUUUAUGAUGACAGAUGAAUUAAACGCUGGAUUAUGUAUGUGGACAAUCAUAUAGAGAAUAUUUCAAAUGAUAGAUUUAAUUGAAUUAUGUAUUGUAUGUUAGAUUUGAUGGUUCAUGUCACUUUCCUACUACGAUAUGCUAACUCAACUUGUAUAUUAUAUGUAUUAAGUACAUGUCUCUAUUUAAUAGAGAUGUCCAAGUUUUAUUGAGUGUGAAUUAUAUUUUAUAAAUUAACACCUCAAAUGAUAAGAAGACGAAGAAGAAUAUUACAUAAAUGUGCAUGUAUUUAGGUAUUAGAUAUAUCUUAAAUUUAUCUUUCCUUAAUGAAUACUUAAAGUGUUAAAAAAAUAUUAGGGGUUGGUUUGCCGUAAUAUAUUUAAUACGUCUGUCAAAAUAUAUAAGUUGAUGAUUAUAUUUAUUUAUUUCAUACUUAUAUCCAUGUGUUUGAUGUACAGUAAAUGAAUUAAAUAGAGAAAUUUUUUUUCUUAUAUUAAUCUGUAUAUGACUUGAUUGUGAGAUUUAUGCAUAAUUGUGUUUGAUAGUUUAACCUUCUCGUUAUUUGAAAUGUUGUAUAUGUUAUAUGAAAUUGAUCUCCCAACAUAAGUUAUUGCAAGAUGUGAAAUGUGUUGAUGGAUAAUUGAAUGUUGAAUGGUACUAUUCCAUAUUGGUGUGAACAUGGUUGGUUGAUGUUGGAAGACUAAUACUACUAUUCCACCUAUAAUUGCGUCGCAACAUAAUUGUCCCAUAUCCCCAUUGUACACCCCGU